UCUGCAUGGUGUUGAGAGAGUACUGUUAUAUAAUAAGAAAUGAUACUGUCAGAAAAACUUGGGAAGACUUACACGAAGUUAGCAGAAUGAGGAAAACAGUACACUGGGUAACAGCAAGAUUGCACAGUGAAGAACUGGGAAUGACGGAGCUGGCCUGACAAAUAUGAAGGACUCAUUGUGAAAAAUGCUCUGCAGCUCCAGAAAAAGAACUGAUGGAAUCCAGGUGAAGCAGUCAAGACUCCCUCAGCUGAGUCCUACUGGGAACUGAGGACUUCUAAUUGCUAGAACCUGAGCAACCUUGAAGCUCCCCGGAGCUGCCUUCAAUUCUCUUCCUCAAGCUCCAGCAUCAGAAAUGAUUUCUUCCCUUUUCACUCCCAGAUUGCAGUAUAUCUUCCAUUCUGAAAGAGUUUCUAAAUAUCACAUGAAAGCACCUGAGUCAGAUCUCUGGUCUGUAUCCACAGGAGAAGAACUCGAAAGAUGGGAUAACUAAGAAUCAUGCCCCACACUGUGCCCACCCAAAACUCCCUCUUGUUCAUGCUAUAAGACAAAGAAUUCCUUUUUUUUUUUUUUUUAAUGAAUUCUUCAUGGAAACCACUAAGCUCCUGGAAGGUUCGACUCAAGAACCAUCUACAUCAAGACCGUUCUGGAUUUUCCCUGGGUGUCAGUGGCCUCUCUCCCUGUCACCACAGAUUCCAGAAAGUUUCCAGACAUCAGUAACUCAGUACAAGCAAACACUGGAGCCACAACCAGAAAAUAAAGUAAGCCAGCUUUACA